rnacentral:rRNA from 1 species
GGGUCAGUAGGUUGGUCGUGCCACCGGUACGUACUGGUCCCACUGAUUCCUCCUUCCUGAAGAACCGUAAUGCCAUUAAUUUGGUGUUGCGGGGAAACAGGACUGUUACUUUGAAAAAAUUAGAGUGUUUAAAGCAAGCUAACGCUUGAAUACAUUAGCAUGGAAUAAUGAACUAGGACGAUCGAUCCUAUUUUGUUGGUUUCUAGGAUUGACGUA